CGGGAAGAGCUCAAAUUUGUAAUCUGGCGGUCUCGCGGCCGUCCGAGUUGUAAUCUGGAGAAGCGUUUUCGGUGCCGGCCCGCGUACAAGUCCCCUGGAACGGGGCGUCGCAGAGGGUGAGAAUCCCGUCUCUGACGCGGCACGCCGGCGCCGUGCGAUGCGCUCUCGAA
rnacentral:rRNA from 1 species